rnacentral:rRNA from 1 species
AGCGAACGCUGGCGGCAUGCUUAACACAUGCAAGUCGCACGGUCAGCAAUGGCAGUGGCGGACGGGUGAGUAACGCGUAGGAAUUUAUCUCUGGGUGGGGGACAACUGUGGGAAACUACAGCUAAUACCGCAUGACGCCUGAGGGCCAAAGCAGUAAUGCGCCUGGAGAGGAGCCUGCGUCUGAUUAGCUUGUUGGUGGGGUAAAGCUUACCAAGGCGACGAUCAGUAGCUGGUCUGAGAGGAUGAUCAGCCACAUUGGGACUGAGACACGGGCCAAACCCCUACGGGAGGCAGCAGUGGGGAAUAUUGGACAAUGGGGGCAACCCUGAUCCAGCAAUGCCGCGUGUGUGAAGAAGGGUCUUCGGGAUUGUAAAGCACUUUUGGCAGGGACGAUGAUGACGGUACCUGCAGAAUAAGCCCCGGCU